GGCACCGGGAGAGGAGCUGGAGGAGGCCAAAAUAAGAAUGCAGGAUCACAGUCAAGGCUGCUGCGGAGCCAGGAAAGACAGCGAUGCAGACUCCGGACUAGGACCUGCUGCACUCAGAAGCCUGUGGAUGGCAGGAGGCCAGGGAAGGAUACAAGCAGGUCCGGGAGGGAGGGCGGCUGCGCUCCAGAAAUGAGGAGCGGGAACUUGGGACAGCAACUGGUACCUGGACAGUGAACUUGACCAUUCCAGGGGGCUCCCAACGACGGUGAAGGUAGGGGGUGUGGCCGAAAGGACACAAAGGCUAAACACAGCUACAGGGGUGGGGGAUAAGGGUGGUGGUGACAAGGAUCGAAGGACACCUUUCUGCAACCAACUAGGGACUGUAAAGACAAUUGAACUGAGGGUGAUUUUGUAUGAGAAAGCUAAAGCAGCAAAGAAAGGAAAAUCAGGAUUGAAGAGCUGAGAGAGAGAGAAGAGUUAGAAGCCAAAGAAAGCAAACUGCACCCGGAACUAAAGGAAAAAGGAAAGCAAUAAAGGAAAUUUUCAAAACACAUGGCAGAGCGAACUUGUUCCUGAAACUACCAACAGAGGGAGGAAAAAGGGGUGGGGGCGCCGAGCAUGCUGGAGGAACCAAGAGAGAAGGAAGGAAAGGAGAGAAGACUGGAUGCAAAUUAAACCAGACACGGCAUAGACACAGAUAAAUCUGGCAUCACAACAGCUGCCCAUUCUUCUCGCUAUGCAAAGUACUGAUUUGGGGUGUAUUUUAGUGAUGCGAAUGUCAUCCAUUUCCAGCUAAACUCACAGAUUCAUCUUAAUCUCACUAGAAGAGAGACAUCCAGGUUCUCUCCUUGGACCUUGAACUUGCUGAUUCAGCUAAGCUGCCUGGUCAGAACGCCCCAAGGAUGCUUGUCUUAAGUCAUCAGUGCAGGGAUUACAGAUGUGCACCACCACACCCAGCUUUUUAAGUGGGUGCUUGGGAUCAGAACUCGGGUCCUCGUGAUUGAGUGGCAAGCAUAUUAGCUACUGAGCCAUCUCCCCAGCCACUAAAUUGCU